UCCCCGUUCACCGGGGCAGUCCUCCCAGAGUCCCCGCCAUGACGCGCUGGCAACUGGGAGCGGGGGUUGCGCUCGUUGCGGGACUUAACCCAACAUCUCACGACACGAGCUGACGACAGCCAUGCAGCACCUGUCUCGGGACUCCGAAGAGGGGCCGUGGUUUCUCACGGCUUUCCCCGAGAUGUCAAGCCCAGGUAAGGUUCUUCGCGUUGCAUCGAAUUAAGCCACAUGCUCCGCCGCUUGUGCGGGCCCCCGUCAAUUCCUUUGAGUUUCAACCUUGCGGUCGUACUCCCCAGGCGGGGUACUUCCUGCGUUAGCGCCGGCACCCAGAGGGUCGCUCCCCCAGGCACCUAGUACCCAUCGUUUACGGCGUGGACUAC
rnacentral:misc_RNA from 1 species